CUGUGUGCGUGCACAGACCCACACGCACACCAGCACAGUGCACAAGCCAAGGCUUGCAUGGCGCACCCCACUACUCCACUGCUGUCCUCGCUGUUUGAUUAGCAUCUGUGACGCCUCUCUCUUUUGUUGUUGAUAUACAAGCCCUCUUUUUUUUUCUCGCUCACUUCUUUGCCAGCGUCUCGGCCCACUCCCUACUGUCUCUCCUCAGAGACUCCUCCUCUUUAUCUGCGGGCUUGUCUGCAGGCCCAAGCCCCUCAUCUUAAGUAGUGCGACUGACGCACCGGCGCUUGCGAGAGCACCAGUGAAGCCGGAAGCAGCCACCCCCUCGCGUGCAGACGUCACAGCGCAUUCGAGAGCAGAUGCCCGCGCGCACAUGCUGUCCUACGGACAGCCCAGAAAAAAGGGCUGCUGCAGCGCCUCCUGGGGAAGAUGAGCCGCCGCUAGUGCACAGUGGGUGCCGAGAAACUCCACCAUCGACAACCGAUUCUGCGCACGGUUUGCAGGAAGAAGGCAGCACUGCUACAGCGCCAACUUCUGCGGAGAGCGGCACUGCCCUCGUCUCGCGCGGUGAGUCCCGGGCCGCGGUGCACCUCCGCUCGCCUGCCACAGCUCAGCAGAGCUGCGGCACCCUCAUCCCUCUCAACCCAACAACACGGCGCAUUGCCGUCGGCAUCGCCAAGGCAGGCAUCUCCAUCGCGGAUGGCUUUCUUCUCUCCAGCAGCGCUGUCCUCAACCCGGUCAUAUCGGCGUCGUUCGUCGUUUACGAGUCGGUGAAGGUGGUACAGGCGUACCGCCACGGCGAACUCACUUCCCUUGGUUAUCGCACCACCAAGGGCGACGUCGCCCUCCGCAUCGGAAAAGAACUCGCCACCAUGGGGCUUGGUAUGGCGAUCGGUCACGGAGUGGGUGCCCUCAUCGGUCUCAGCGCGAUCCCUGUGGCUGGCCAGAUCGCUGUGGCGACAGUUCUAUCCGUCGGGCUGGGCACCUGCAUCGGCACGCUUCUGACGCAUUACGUCGAUCGCUUCAUGGUGCGUCUCCAGCUUCGCAACCAGUAUGGGUACCCCAUGGAUGAGCGCGGCACGCGCCGCCGCUUCGAGGUGCUGAUGGAGCGUCGCCACGACCUGUCCACACUGGAGGCGUGCCGCGUUGUGCAGCAUUACGCCGACUACCGUGUGGCGAGCGGGUGGGAGAGCGCAAACGACCUGGACGACUACAGGGCCUCGGGCGACAUCACACGCAUGCCCGUCUCUCUGCAGCACUUUGCCGUGGUCCAACUUCAGCGAAAGUGGGGCUUCGUGAAGGAGCGGGCGCAGUGCCGGCAGAUCUACCGAGCCUUGUUGCUGCUGCAUCACCCAGAUCGCGGCGGGUCUACCGAGCUGGCGGCGCAGCUGAACAAAGACUUCGAGUUCUUUGCCUUCUGCCAGGGGUGGGACAGCGACUGCGCGUCGCUGUUGCGCAGUGCGCACAGCAGUUCCGCGACUGCGGCACCCGCCGAUGGCGCCUCGCGGCGGCGUCGCGGCAGCGUCAUCGUGGACUACCUCCGCUCACUCUUCCGACCGACAACGAAUUCGCGCGUCGGCGCCAACGACCUGCACCAGUUUGGCCUGCUUGCCUUGGAGGCUGGAACUCCGGCUGAGAUGCACCGCCGCGACGUCACUGCCGCACUUUCCUCAUUGCCCGCCGCCGGCGCAGCAGGUGACAGGAGCGAUGAGGCGGCACAGGAGAAGUGCGGAAGUCUUGGCGACAUUGACAGCUUCAGCGACGGGGACGGGGACGAGUACGAGGACACCGUGGCUGUGGCAGCGGUGCGCCAGCGCAGCGUCACACGUGUGCUGCGUGCCCUACACGAGGUCUACACGGCCACCGCCGAAGCCAUCACAUUUUCUGGGCUCAUCCAGGUCUCUGACGAUACCGAUCGGUGGUCCCAGCUGCACCAAGAUGUGAGCCUCUUUCAGCGACUGCAGUACUUCAUCUCAUUGCACGCGCAGGCACUGGCAGCGGCCCAUCACGAGAGCGCCGGGCAGGCGGCAGCGAGUGAUGACUGCGAGGAGGUACAGCCGUUGUGUGCAGCAAAGAAGUACAUCUUCCGCACCUUCCGCUGGUCGACUGUGCCGGAGGCGGUGGCGAAACGGGAGGAGGCCCGCAGCGCCAUCGUCGCCGCCGUCUUCACGCCAGAAACGAGUCAGCAGCUCACCUCCCUGCUGGAGCUGUGGCGCACCGCCAAGGCAAUGGCGGAGAGCUACUUCCGCGCCUGCCAGAAACGCGAGGCGGACGGUCGUCCAGCCACAAGCCGAAACGAGGACGAGGGUCGGCAGACGCUAGACGCACUCCUGCGCAUUCACACGCAGAUUGAGGCAGCUGGCACGGCAGCGCGGGAGCCGUGGGAGGGGCGCAUGGAGGAGUGGGCCACGCGGACUGUGCCGGGUUUUUCGUCCUUCAUGGAGGACGUGAAGGAGGUCGGCCUGACGGCGAGCAACGCCCUUGCGGCCGAGUACGCGGCCCACGCCUUUGCGUCUGUGCGGCAGCAGUGCAGCGAGUACUUUAAGGGGUGGAGUCGAAAGCAGGACACACUGCAAACGCUUCUGGCGGAGCUGCAGCUGGAGUACACCGCACUGCGAGGUGCUGCGCAGGGGAGCGGCGGUGGCAGCCCGUCUUCAACGGCGCCGGGUUUCGCCUGCGAUCCUGAAGCCGCAAGACGCAUUGACGACUAUCAAACCCAGCUCCUCCUCCUUCACAAGCAAAUGGCGGAGGUGGACGUGGGCGUGGCAGAGUGGGCAAACACCUGUGCUGCCCACUUCCCAGAGCUCACGACAACGAUGCUUCAGCUGCCGUCCACGUGCGUUGAAAGCGUCGUCGGAAUGAGAAAAGACAGUUCCUCUGACGCGAGCAGUCCGAAUGAGGCGACUCUGGCAGGGCAUGACUGGACGCACCGCUUUCUCGCCUUCGAGCGCGAGCGCACCCUCCUCCACUACACGCGCGUCGAGGCCGAGCCGGUGAACCCGCUUGAUCCGUUUACCUCUCGCAUCCCUGCACACAACCCGUCCGACGCUGCUGAGUGGGAGCAGGCGGUGAGCAGGGAGGAGAGCGAUGCUAUUGGCGCACUCCUGCGCAGCUUCGAGGCGAACGAGGCCAUCGAGGACGCGGUCGUGGGCCGACACGGGGUCGGGAUGACGCUCCUUCAGGCGCUGUACAACGACCCACUCACGGGGGAAAGCACGCCGUGCUGGCUGAAACGCUACUCCUUUGCUGGUGCACAGAGCAAGAAGGGCGUGACGGGCCUUCGUGCUCUCGCACAGAGCAUCCUGGCUGAGGAGGUGGCCGUCUCAGCCGCGUGCAGCAGCGACCGGGUGGUAUCGGCCCGCGACAUCUUCUACAACCGCGAGCGUCACGAGAUCUUUGUGCACUACGUGCGUGGCGCGACACAGCAGCGCUUUCGUUCCGUCAACGACGUGCGGCGUCAGGUGGAGCCACUCGGCCUACGAUGGUUGCACGACGUUCUGGAGUGCGUGGCGUGUCUGCACGCCUGUCAGCUCGCACACGGGCACAUCUGCCUCAGCGCCUUUACCUACGAUGAUUUUGGCAACACGGCCCUGGGCGUCUUCCACCCCGCCUGGGAAGGCCACAAUUCCGUGAGCCCCGCGCCAGCCGAAGAGCCCAGCGUUGCUACCACGCCGGCGCCGAGCCUUGCCGACCGCCAGCACUACGAUGUCAUUGACGUUGGCAUCAUGUUGCUUACGGAACUGCUGCCUCUCUUCAACACGGCGCGUAGCGGCUCUUCCACGCCACCGCCUGCUGCUGCGUUCUCCGCGCUGACUCUGUCGCCCACCUCGAGACAGCCGCCGCCGGGAAGAGGCGGCGGCAUUACGGAGGCUGACGCUGUCUCGGAUGACAUGGUGCGUGUCAUGGAAGCCGUUGCGGCUCACCUCGUAGGGAAGGAGGAACCGCGCUGGUCGCUGCUGGACGCGCGACAGUUUGUGCGCCGCUUCCAGCAGCUCCGCUCUGGAGACCUCGCCAUCUUUUCGAAGCAGGUGGCGUACCCCGCCUCCUGGGCGAUUCGCUGUGCUGUACCACCGGUGCAACUCGUUGCUGUCGACGCGACGCCGUUCCGCUUUCCAGCCACCCUGACGGCGUCAGCCGCCGCAGUGCGCGUUUACCACAACCGCCAUGUCUCGCUAUGGGAGACGUACUGGCGGUGUCGGCACCAGAUGACCACGCUGCACCGCGGUAGCCACAUGUUGCCGUCCGUGGUCACGCAAACCCCCCCACUUCUCUUGUGCAGCGACGACUGCGAGGUACAUGAACGCUACCUAUGGUGCGCGUGCGCACACGAGGAGGUGGCGUGGGAGCGCUGCCAAGACGGCUUCCGCUCCUUGCGACGCGACGCGACUCAGCUCACACUCCGCAACGAUAUGUUGCCCCUCUCACUUGUCGCACCGUCAGCCCGUCCUGACGGUAGCACUGAACUAUGGGGUGUCAUCUGCCGCGCGACGCUCGGAACGACCCUUGAAGAGACGGAGGAGGAGUUCGCCGCUACGGAGAGCAAGACGGACAUGGCCACAGCGCAGUACAACAAGCUGUCGUAUGCUGCCCAGCGCCGUAGCCACCUCGUCACACGGCCGCAGAUGAAGCAAGAACCGCAGUCAGAGUCACCGUCGGCAAUCUGGGUGCCAUCCCCUUGGGCCCGCUGCUACCCUGAAUAUAUUGUACACAUCUCGUGGCUAU
rnacentral:misc_RNA from 1 species